GUGGGUUUUGAAAGUGCUUUGUGUUCAUGGCUGGUGCAAUCAGGGGUGAGCUGAAACUAACCCCCAGCUUAGGAAACAGAGUUAUUCCUCAUGUGGCUGACUCUGUGCCGAAAACAUGGGAACAACC